rnacentral:rRNA from 1 species
GAUGAACGCUGGCGGCGUGCCUAAUACAUGCAAGUCGAGCGAACGGACGAGAAGCUUGCUUUUCUGAUGUUAGCGGCGGACGGGUGAGUAACACGUGGAUAACCUACCUAUAAGACUGGGAUAACUUCGGGAAACCGGAGCUAAUACCGGAUAAUAUUUUGAACCGCAUGGUUCAAAAGUGAAAGACGGUCUUGCUGUCACUUAUAGAUGGAUCCGCGCUGCAUUAGCUAGUUGGAAGGUAACGGCUUACCAAGGCAACGAUGCAUAGCCGACCUGAGAGGGUGAUCGGCCACACUGGAACUGAGACACGGUCCAGACUCCUACGGGAGGCAGCAGUAGGGAAUCUUCCGCAAAGGGCGAAAGCCUGACGGAGCAACGCCGCGUGAGUGAUGAAGGUCUUCGGAUCGUAAAACUCUGUUAUUAGGGAAGAACAUAUGUGUAAGUAACUGUGCACAUCUUGACGGUACCUAAUCAGAAAGCCACGGCUAACUACGUG